ensembl:snoRNA SNORD15 Small nucleolar RNA SNORD15
CUUCAGUGAUGAUACGAUGACGAGUCAGAAAGGUCACGCCUUGCUCUUGGUCCUCGUCAGUGCCAUGUUCUGUGGUGCUGCACAUGGUUCCUUUGGCAAAAGUGUCCUGUUCAUUGAUUGAUUAGAGGCAUUUGUCUGAGAAGG